rnacentral:lncRNA from 1 species
UCCCUUCUUUGUCGCCACUCACCGUCUCUGCGAUCGCACCCGGAUGGCAUCCACUUUUGAUGCUCUCAUCCCCUCUGGUCGUCUUUCUAGUAUCUCUGCCUAUGGUGGCCUAAGUCGCUCUCAAAGAAUCUCUUGAGAUCGAGGAUUUCCAUGAGUAUCUUAGUCGAAUUUUAAAUGUCUGCCAUCAAUAAUAUCCUCUUCCAAGACUGCAAACCCUCCUAUGCCUUUCUUUUCCCCAUUCAGGUAUUCCGAUUCUAAAUCAUAAGAUCUUGAUCUUUUCUUUGAUUUCUCGAC